GCCUCCUUAGUCUAGCGGUUAACAUCACCACUCUUAAUGGGAGACGUCCUAUGAGGUGGUCUAGGGUUCGAAUCCCUGAGGAGGCA